rnacentral:rRNA from 1 species
AAACUUUCAGCAACGGAUCUCUUGGCUCUGGCAUCGAUGAAGAACGCAGCGAAAUGCGAUAAGUAAUGUGAAUUGCAGAAUUCAGUGAAUCAUCGAAUCUUUGAACGCACAUUGCGCCCGCCAGCACUCUGGCGGGCAUGCCUGUCCGAGCGUCAUU